ACAGAAAAUAUAAAGCCAUUUUAUUUUGAAAGUGCAAUUAUUUUGUAAAAGGAAAUAGUUGUUGUUGUUUUACGCUUGACUUCCUCCUGUGAGUUCACAUGUGAGGAUAAUAGUAUUUUAAUUGGUCCGAUUAACAUGAUCCCGCCCUCUCGAGACAUCGUCUCGAAGGUUCUUUAUUUUACGUUCUUUUCCGCUUGGAUGCCAAAGAGGAAGGACGUAGUGAACUUCCUCAGCGCUUGGAGCCAAUAAGUCAGCCUUCUAGAAAUAAAAUAAUUGACUCAACGCUGAAAUAAGGCCGUUUGAACAAAUAAUAAGAAGGAAAUUACAUUUCCUCGUGUAUGUGAACCGGAGGAUUGGAGCCUGCAUCCACUCAAGUUCACAUUAAAAGAAAAACUUCGUCUUGGCUGGGUUUUUUGUUUCCUCCUUUCAUUCCAUUCAUUGGACGUGGAUGAAGAAUUCGGAACUGGAUAAAGACACUGGAUAAAGACUUUUCCAACAGAUGAAGAUGGCGAGCUAAUGCCCGGAAACCAACUGAAUUGAAUUUAGACGGACUGUCUGGUUUGAAUUUUUGUUAUUUUAUUGUAUAUAUUUGUGUAUAUAUCGCCGGCUUAAAUUGUAAAUAGUUUUUGUAUUAAUACAAUUAUUUUGUUACUCAUCUCGACUCCAGUUAUUUCAGUUACUAAACAUUAUUUUCCUUAUUGUAAUCUCCGAGAACCUAGUUUUCUGCCCAAAUACAAUUGCAUUCAUAACAGAACCCCGU